AUAAGUAUACUAGAGAAACUUAUUAGGUCCAAAAUUGUGAUAAAAUCCAAAUACACAAGCAAAUUAACAAUCACAAAAAUUAGAUAAGAUGGAUUGCAAAAGAAGAAGAAAAAGAAGGACGUCAUAGGCGCCCCCAAGCGUUUAGCUUGUUUUUUUGCUAUCCGAUGCAUUCUAAGGAUGUUUGAAUGUGUAUUGCCUCUAUCUGGUGGUGAUGAGACUCCGUCUUUGCGAGUCCCGAAUUAAGACUCCAUAUGCGGGUAUGGGAGUCUAGCAUUAAACCUCCAUUAUGCUUCAAAGUGUGCAUGUAAAGCAAAGAAGAAACAAAAAUAGAAUUAAAGGAGAAACCUUAUGCUUAAUGGAAAAAAUAGUGAAUCAAAGGUAUUUACAAUGGUUAAUGAUAAGCUAUAGCUACAGCAUGUUCAUAGAGACGUAAACAAAAAAAACAGUUGAUUAGACUGAUACUAGACUUACAUUUAAACUUAUACUGUAUAAGUUUAGCUUAAGAAGCAAUGUAUAAGUUAUACAUUGCUUCUUAAGCUAAUGACUUAUAUCACAAAAAAAUUGCUAGGCGAGAUUAGCAUACUGCAGUCGCUAUCUUUAUUCACAUGAGAAGCAAGGUAUUACAAAUAUGUUAGAAUGAAUCAACACAAGAAAGUAAGAUUGAAUAGUCUCCUCAUAGACAGCGUGGCUUCUAUAACGUACAAACAAAUGACAGAGGAUACAUGAGUACCUCAACAAAUAUUUAACCUACUGAACUUUCAGAUAAAUAGAGUGUGCAUUAAUAUUAAACUUCUCACCAUGCCACCUUAAUUAACUCGUUUGAAUUCAUAAUAUGAGAGAUUCUAAAAAAUAGUUCCACUUAUAAACAACUAGUGGAAUAAAGUCAUCCCUCAAUGGCUUCUAAACUUCAAUAAAAUCUAAAGUUAGGUUUUCUUUACAUAUGCAAGCCCCAACAUCAAUACUAUAUAUCGAUUAACCGAGUUGUUCACUUUCAGUUAUAAUGAAGAAUUCUACUUAUAAUAUUUUCAUUCCUUGAACAGCUAGUUAGAAAUAAUAUACCCCAUAAAAGACACAAGUUAAAUGGAACACGUAAUCAAGAAAUCAUACAACCAAAAUAUUUUCACUGACCCAAACUGGAGGGCCAUGACUAGCACCCGAUCAUACUUACCAAGCACCAACAUACAUUUUAUCUAAGCUUCUUUAUUAUCUUCUAGGGUUGACGAAAUCAUUAUAAAUGGUAGACAGGGAUCAUGGACAACAAACUAUAAAUUAUGAUGGCAUGAACAUACCUAACAUGGGAUGACUAGACAAUCAAGAAACUAUGUAUAAGGUACGAGCUACCACGCUAGCAUGAAAGACUAUACAACAAAAGCCAGUCGACAAGGCAUACCAACUAUACAUGAGCCAACACCUGUCUAUGAGCCUCUAAAAGAACAUACAUGCUGCAACAUACCCGGAACAGGGCCCCAACAUACCCAUAAUGACCAUAACAAAAAUGCAUACCAAGACCACGGCAAGUCCGGAGAAGGGAUCUCGCCAAUUACCGCUAAACUGGACAGUCUACUGUGGUAGGGGAGCUGCACAUGCCUGUCUAUCAGGACCUGCAGCACGACAUGCAGCGUCCACAAAUAAAAGGACGUUAGUACGAAUAAAGUAUUGAGUAUGUAAGGCAGGGAACCAUAAAUACAAACAGUAAUGUAAGCAGGAAUAGAGAAUAUACGACAUGUAAGAUCAGAGUACCCCUGAGGGCUACUAACAUGAAAUGCAUGAUAAAUAUGUAUAGGUACAUAAACUUUUAAAACAUACGCCUCUGUGGGCAUCAUCAUCCUCAUAUCGUACCCGGCCCUAAUAUGCUCGGAAAGAACGUACCCGGCCAUCAUAAGGCUUGGUAGAAUUGUUACAACUCUUUAGUCUACAAUAAGAGAGACGAUACUAUCGUUAACAUUUAAGCGUCGUAACUAUUAUGUACCGACCACAACCUAUUUUGUGAUGAAACGGACAACACCUCCCCUAUUUAUAUGACUUCUCACAAGUGAAAACAAUCACCAAACAGACCAAACAACAUCAACGUUAAUCAUAUUGAACCUCCCAAAAUAGUCUACCAACCGAUAACAUUACUACCAAGCCUUUCGAUAUAUAUUUCACAAGUUCUAGCUUCAAUGACUUAGCCGCAACUUGGAUAAUAUUAAAUACAUAUAGAUUAAGAGGUUCCUUACCUUUAUACAGAAAUUACAACUCCAAUGUGACCUUAAUUCUCCACGAAAUAUCCCUCCAAUCUUGCCACAACAACAAGGAAGUGAAACUAGCAAUCAAUUAGUAUUUUUCUGAACUAGAAUCUUCAGAAGGCUUGAAAUCACCUAGAGUUGAUAUUACGAACUUGAGGGAGUAUUUACAGAACAUAAACCCUUUAAAACAACCUCCCACAUGAGCUGGAACAACACAAAAUGAGCAACAACAAGAAGAACAAGAGACUUACUAGCGCCACGGGAUUCCCGACACUUGAUUUGUGUUGUUUGCCCUUUGUUUGGCUCUUGAAUCUUGAGAGAACCUUGAGAAGGUGUUCCUAGGGUUCUGAGGUCUGAAAAUAGUGAAAAGAAAUGACUUAAAAUGGGUUGGAGGCGUCCUAUAUUGAUCCAAAUGUCUUAAACCGCCUAAAUGGGCCCCAUAAAGAGGUGCUUGGCGCAGUCUCGCAAAAAUACGAAUAACUCUCUACUCCGAGAUCGUAUCGACGAUCGGUUUAAUACGUUAGAAACUAGAUUAAUAGAUAUUCAAUUUUAUGGUUAGAUCACUCCAUAAUUCUAAGUAAAUUGGGAGAAAGGCUUAGUAACAUUUGACCUAAUGUUUAACUAAAAUUAUGAACCUAAGUUGUGACAACUUUUGUCGACUUUUGUCUCAUAACUCGUUUGAUUUCAAGACUUAUGAUACGGAUAUUAUAUGAUUCAAAUACCUUAAAACACUACACUUGAGUGAAUUAUUCACCUAUAGGUUUACCCGAAAAUACGGCUGACAACAUCCUUGAUUCGCUUAACUUCUAAUACUUGUUAACCACCCUUAUACACCUUUGUAUCAUUUAAGACCAAUAGGAUUAACUUCUUAUCAUCAUAAAGAUAAUCCUUUCAAGGAUUUUGGCGUAUCCGUAUUUGGCAGAGUGGAAACGUACUCGGGAAGGAAAUGAUCUUUACAUGGAAAUGAAAGAGUCUGGAGUAAUUAAUGAAGAAGUCGACUACCUUAUGGCAUGAGCUAACAUACGUGAAUAUGGUUUGUAACACCCUCCCCCCUUAGGCACAUUUGCCCUCGAAUGUAAGGGUCUAUGGGGAGUCCAAAUCUUUGUGGAUUCCAACGGAAAUUUCCGAUCUAUUUCCCACUAUAAAAUGGCCACUAGCAAAACUUGCAAGUACUUAAGCCAAAUAUAUGGCCAGCUACACAAGACAUUAUGGAUAUUUAUAUCUGCAUAUCACCAUCUUGUAUUAAGGAAGAGUAUUCUCAAGUUAUUGCUUACCUCAUAAAGUCGUUUCACCUUUCCAAUGUAUCUUGCGUUCCACCAGCAUCCUUGUUAUCAUCACUCUGGAAUAGGUAAGGGUAUUUAGACUUCAUCUCUUCUUCCGCUUCCCAUGUCAUUUCUACCAUAUUUUUGUUCCUCCACAAUACUUUGACGAAAGCUACAUCGUUUGUUCUCAGCUUGCGGACUUGAGAAUAUAAUAUAACCACUGGCACUUCUUCAUAUGAUAGAUCCUCUGUAGCUUGUACAUCUUUGAUAGGGACAACCCUAUAAGGGUCUCCAAUACAUUUUCUCAACAUAGAUACAUGGAAUACCGGGUGGACAAAUUCCAAUUCCGAUGGCAAUUAUAACUCAUAAGCAACUUUCCAAUUCGUUUAAGAAUUUUAUACGUACCGAUAUACCUUGGACUCAGCUUACCUUUCUUCCCAAAACGCAUAACACCCUUCAUUGGUGAGAUCCUCAGGAAAACCCAAUCACCAACCUCAAACUCCAAGUCACGACGUCGGACAUCGGAAUAAGACUUUUUCCUGCUUUGUGCCGUCCUCAUCAUUCCUUUAUCACAUUCACCUUCUCAAUGGCUUGGUGAAUCAAAUUUGGCCCAUAUAAUUCUAUUUCACCGACUUCGAACCAUCCAACUAGUAAUCUACAUCUUCACCCGUAUAGUGCCUCAUAUGGGGCCAUUUUAAUACUGGAAUGGUAGCUAUUGUAGGAGAAUUCUAUGAGUGGAAGAUGGUCAUCCUAAUUUCCCUUAAAAUCUAGAACACAUGCUCGUAGCAUAUAUUCCAGUGUUGGAAUGGUACGUUCAGCCUAUCCGUCAAUUUGCGGAUGAAAUGCAGUGGUGAGAUUCACUUGUGUGCCUGAACCCUUCUGAAAAGACCUCCAAAAGUUAGCCGUAAAUUGAGCUCCUCGGUCUAAUAUAAUAGAUACUGGCACACCAUGAAGCCUAACAAUCUCCUUGAUAUAUAACUUCGCAUAAUCUUCAGCCAUGUAAUUAGUCUUAACUGGUAGAAAAAGGGCACAUUUUGUAAGUCGAUCAACUAUUACCCAGGUGGAGUCAAACUUAUGAUAAGAGUGAGGUAAUCGAAUAACGAAGUCCAUAUUAAUCACCUCCCAUUUCCAGGUCGGAAUCUCUAUAUUCUGAAGCAACCCACCGGGUUUCUGAUGUUCUAUCUUUACUUGUUCACAAUUUGGACACUGGGCUACAAAUUCUGCAAUAGACUUUUUCAUGUUAUCCCACCAAUACUGCUCCUUGACAUCAUGAUACAUCUUUGUCAAGCAGGGAUGGAUACAAUAUCGGGAUUGAUGAACUCAUUCAUAAUCUUUUCUCGCAACCCUGCCACAUUAGGCACAAAUGAUCGACCCUCGUAUCUCAGUGCCCCAUCUCCUUCGAUCUCAAAAGCCGUAAUAUUACACUGCUAAAUGCUCUUUCUCAAUCGUACUAAGAUAGGAUCUUCAUAUUUCCGUGAUUUUAACUCGGCUACCAAAGAUGAUUCGGAUGUAUUAUGUACAGUAACACCUCCGUAAUCAGAGUCUAAUAAUCUGAUUCUCAUAUUGGCUAGCUGAUGAAAUUCUUUAGUCAACCCCCAUCUACCUGCCUCAAUGUGUACUAAGCUUCCCAUUGACUUACGGCUGAGAGCGUCUGCCACAACAUUGGCUUUACCGAAUGAUACAAUAUCUCUACGUCGUAGUCUUUCAAUAACUCAAGCCACCUACGCUGCCUCAAAUUCAACUAUUUCUACUUAAGGAUAUAUUGUAAACUCUUAUGAUUUGCGUAGAUGUCAACAUGGACGUUGUAUAAGUAGUGUCGCCAUAUCUUCAAAGCAUAUAUUACUGCAGCCAAUUCCAAAUCAUGGGUCGGGUAAUUAUUUUCAUGCUUCUUCAAUUGUCUUGAUGCAUAAGCAAUCACCCUUCCACGUUGCAUCAAUACGCACCCCAAACCUAUACCUAAGGCAUUACAAUAUACCACAUAUCCUUCUGUUCCUUCAGGGAGAGUGAGCACUGGUGCAGAUGUUAAUCGAUUCUUCAGUUCCUGAAAACUGUAUCCUUAUGUUCCUUCAGGGAGAGUGAGCCCUAGUGCUGAUGUCAAUCAAUUCUUCAGUUCCUGAAAACCACGCUCACAAGUGUCAGACCACUGGAACUUGGUAGCUUUUUGUGUUAAUUUAGUCAAUGGUGCUAAUAUGGAGGAAACCCUUCCACAAAUCGCCUAUAAUAUCCUGCUAGCCCUAGGAAGCUGUGGACUUCUGAUGGUGUUGUAGGUCUCGGACAAUUCUUUACUGUAUCGAUCUUCUGAGUGUCGACACUAAUACCCAAGUCAGAUAUCACAUGGCCAAGGAAUGUUACUAAGUUCAGCCAUAAUUCACAUUUGGAGAGCUUAGAAUAUAGCUUACGAACCUGAAGCGUCUGUAAUACUAUCCACAAGUGGCCUGCAUGUUCCGCCUCCGAACGAGAAUACACCAGAAUGUCAUCAAUGAAUACAAUCACGAACACAUCAAGAUAGGGCCUGAAUACAGUAUUCCGCCUCUGAAUAAGAAUACACCAGAAUGUCAUUAAUGAAUACAAUCAUGAACACAUCAAGAUAGGGCCUGAAUACUGUAUUCAUGAGAUCCAUAAAAGCUUCUAGGGCAUUUUUUAGCUCGAACAACAUCACCAAGAACUUAAAUGCCCAUAUCUCGUCCGGAAGGUCGUUCCUUAACCCUCACCUGAUGAUACCCUGAAUGUAAGUCAAUCUAAGAGAAAUACUUGGCACCCUGGAGUUGGUCAAACAAGUCGUCAAUUCUUGGAAGUGAAUACUUGUUCUUUAUAGUAAACUUAUUCAACUGUCGAUAGUCGAUAUACAUCUGUAACGACCCGUCUUUCUUCCGCACGAAUAGAACUGGUGCACCCCAAGGUGAAGUGCUAGGCCUAAUGAAGCCCUUAUCCAGCAAGUCCUUCAACUGCGCCUUCAACUCUCGCAACUCUGCCGGAGCCAUUUUGUAUGGAGGGAUAGAGAUUGGUUGAGUGUCAAGCAACACAUCAAUGCUAAACUCAAUCUCCCUUUCAGGAGGAAGGCCUGGGAGUUCGUCUGGGAAAACAUCUAGAAAUUCAUUGACCACGGGGAUUAAUUGUAGAGUAGGCGGCUUCACCUCCACAUCCCUAACACGAACGAGAUGAUAAAUGUAACCUUUUGAGAUCAUUUUCCUUGCCUUAAGAUAGGAAAUAAACCUACAUUUUAGAAUAACAAUGUUCCCCUUCCAUUCAAUGACGGGUUCACCAGGAAAUUGAAACCUAACAUUCUUCAUACGACAAUCAACAUUUGCAUAGCAUGAGGACAGGCAGUCCAUUCCCAUUAUCACAUGGAAUCAACCAUUUCUAACUCAAAUAAAUUUGCCGAGGUUUGACGACUAAAAAUCAUCACAGUGCUCAACAUUUGCAUAGCAUGAGGACAACCAGUCCAUUCCCAAUAUCACAUUGAAAUCAACCAUUUCUAACUCAAAUAAAUUUGCCGAGGUUUGACGACUAAAAAUCAUCAUAGUGCAACCUCUAUAUACCCUUCUAGCAAUCAUAGAAACUCUUAUUAGAGUAGAUACCGCAAGGGGUUUACUUAUCAAUUCAGGUUCAAUUCCAAACUUAUUAACCACAAAGGGUGUAGCAUAUGAUAAUGUAGAUCCCGAAUCAAUCAGCAUAUAUACAUCACAAGAAAACACAGGCAAUAUACCUGUAACAACAUCUGGAGAUCCUGAAGACCUACUAGAGCAUAGGUUCGAUUUUGACCACCACUUGAACUCGGCCCUGCACCUCUACCUCUACCAUGACUAUUGAAAACCCGUGCUGGAGGUCGAACUGAUGAGAAAGAACCAAACACAGGUCUAGUCGGCUGAGCCAUACCAUCAACUCUCUUAUUAGGACAAUGCCGCAUCAUAUAGCUAGGUAGUCCGCAAGAAUAAAAUGCAUCAGAACCUCGAUGGCACAGUCCAAAGUGGGCCUUGCCGCACUGAUCACAACGUGGUAUUAUGGGUCUCGUGUUACUAGAAUCCAUGUGAUGUUGCGAGCCUGAUGCCCGCGAACUCUAACCUAGACCAGAAUAUGUAAAUCGAUCAUAUCGAGGCCUCUGAAACUGUGGAGGAGCACUAGCUACAGGUGGCACCGAACUACUCGAAGACUGGGGCCUAACAUUGCCUCUGAAGUCAUCAGAAUACCGUGCAAAUCUUACCCUCUUAUGUUGGCCCCUAUCCUGCUCCCUAGCUGCCCUCUGUUGGCGCUUACAAUCCUCUAGGGUCUGGGCAUAAGCCUGAAUAUGGGAAAUACCCAUGCCUUCCACCAAGGAGGUUGUCGUUCACUCAUUUAUCAGAUGUGGUCCCAACGCGUUCACGAACAAAUGCACCAUAUCACUUAUCUCGGCCACCAUAUGGGGAGCAUACCUUGAUAAAGAAUCAAACUGCAUAAUAUACUCUCGCACACUCAUAUUACCUUGUCUAAGGUUCAAGAACUAAUCAUCUCUAGCUCGUUGUAUCUCAACUGCAAGUAGCGACAAAUAAAGGCCUCAGAAAAAUCCUUCCACCUAGCUAGAGGAGCAUUGAGACCUCUGGAUCUCUCCCAACUUAAUCCCCUGGCCGUUAAGAAGCCAACUCUACUACCUCUGUAUCACUAACAUGCAUUACCCGCAAUGUACGAUGAACCUGGUCAAUAGAAGUCUAGGGGUCCUCAUUGGGGUCUGAUCCGGUAAACAUUGGAGGGUCUAAAUUAAUAAAAUCACGAACUCUCACACUAAUUGGUUUAUCAGCAGCACCUGUAUUCUGCCUCUAAGCCUGAGCAGCUACCAAGCUAGUCAAUAAUGGUAAACAUUGGAUGGUCUAAAUUAAUAAAAUCACAAAAUCUUUUACUAACUAGUUUAUCAGCAACACCUCUAUUCUACCUCUGAGCCUGAGCAGCUACCAAGCUAGUCAAUAACUGUAAAGCACUCCGCAUAUCCUGGUCUGUGGUGCUAGAUGGAGGAACUGGAGGUGCUGGGUGCCUCCUAAUAUCCUCUGGAGGAGACAGAGUAGAUGAGGUAUGAGACGACAUCUCACUCUGAGCCUCACUUUGGCCUGCUCUAGCUUAGGGCACAUGACUGGUACCCUCUCCCAUAUCUGUAUCAAGCCGUCUAAUAAUUAUUUGCUUCCUAGUCGAAGGCAUCGAUGAAAGAAAACAAGGUUAAUAUUAGAGACGAACACUUACGACUCAACUCUACGCACGAUCUAGAUUCAGGAUGAAGGUAACAACCCUAAAUGUCAUGUAGCCUCCAGAUUAUAAAUGUGGCGCGCUACACAUCCAUAAUCAAGACUCUACUAGACACGGCUCAAAGACAAUCCCUAGGUUAAUACCAAGUUUGUCACGACCCAAACUGGAGGGCCAUGACUAGCACCCAACCAUACUUUUCAAGCACCAACAUACAUUUUAUCUAAUCUUCUUUAUUAUCUUCUAGGGUUGACGAAAUUAAUAUAAAUGGUAGACAUGGAUCAUGGAUAACAAACAAUAAUAUAUGAUGGCGUGAACAUACCUAACAUGGGAUAACCAGACAAUGAAGAAACUAUGUAUAAGGUACGAGCUACCACGCUACCAUGAACGACUAUACAAAAAAAACAGCCGACAAAGCAUACCAACUAUACAUGAGUCAACACCUAGCUAUGAGCCUCUAAAGGAACAUAAAUGCUGCAACAUAGCCGGAACAAGGCCCCGACAUACCGAUAAUGUCCAUACAAAAAUGCACACCAAGACUAAGGCAAGUCCGGAGAAGGGAUCUCGCCAAUCACCGCUGAACUGGACAUCAUACUUUGGUGGGGAGCUGCACCUGCCUGUCUAUCAGGACCUGCAACACGACAUGCAGCGUCCACAAAUAAAAGGACGUCCGUAAGAAUAAAGUACUGAGUAUGUAAGGCGGGGAACCAUAAACACGAACAGUAAUGUAAGCAGGAAUAGAGAAUAUACAACCUGUAACAUCUGAGUACCCCUGAGGGCUACUGACAUGAAAUGCAUGAUAAAUAUGUAUACGUACAUAAACUUUUAAAACAUAGGCAUCUGUGGGAAUCAUCAUCCUCAUAUCGUACCCGGCCCUAACAGGCUCAAAAUAAACGUACCCGGCCAUCAUAAGGCUCGGUAGAAUCGUACUUGGCCACGUGAAGCUCAUUAAAACCCAACUGAUCAGUGGUUGCAUAAUAGGUGUCAUAUUCGAAGUAAGGUAAGGUCGGCAUCCUUUGUACACGUUAUUAGGACUAACUCUUCACCAAGAACCUUAUAAGAAUCAGGAAGUACCAACAACAUUGAUAACAAUAAGAAUAAGAGAAGCAACAUUAACAUCUACCAUUCCAUAAGAGGGGAAAGAAUGUAAGUACCGCUAGAUUUUAAGAGUAGAGUAUCAUUGGAAGCUCGUUCAUUACAUUAUGUACAAUCAGAGUCGUGCAAACGAAAGAAAGGGAUUGCCUCACAUACCUAGUAUAUACUGCCCCAAUCUCAAGCUAUGCAAUUAUCACAACUCUUUAGUCUACAAUAAGAGAGACGAUACUAUCGUUAUCAUUUAAGCGUCUUCAUUUUUAUGUAUCGACCACAACCUAUUUUGUGAUGAAACGGACAGCACCUCCCCUAUUUAUAUGACUUCUCACAAGUGAAAACAAUCACCAAACAGCCCAAACAACAUCAAUGUUAAUCAUAUUGAACCUCCCAAAAUAGUCCACCAACCGAUAACAUCACUACCAAGCCUUUCGAUAUAUAUUUCACAUGUUCUAACUUCAAUAGCUUAGUCACAACUUAUAUAAUCUUAAAUACAUAUAGAGUAAGAGGUUAAUUACCUUUAUAUAGAAAUAAAAACUACAAUUUGACCUUAAAUUUCCAUGAAAUAUCCUUCCAAGGCUACCACAACAACAAGAAAACAAAACUAGCAUUACUUACCUUUAUACAGAAAGUACAGCUCCAAUGUGACCUUAAUUCUCAAUGAAAUAUCCCUCCAAUCUUGCCACAACAACAAGGAAGUGAAACUAGCAAUCAUUUAGUAUUUGUCGGAACUAGAAUCACUUUAGAAGGCUUGAAAUCACCUAGGGUUGAUAUUACGUACUUGAGAGAGUAUUUACAAAACAUAAACCCUUUAAAAAACCUCCCACACGAGCUGGAACAACACAAAAUGAGCAAAAAUAAGAAGAAUAAGAGACUUACUAGCGCCACGGGAUUCCCGACACUUGAUUUGUGUUGUUUGCCCGAACUUGAGGGAGUGUUUACAGAACAUAAACCCUCUAAAACAACCUCCCACACCAGCUGAAACAACAUAAAAAUGAGCAACAACAAGAAGAACAAGAGACUUACUAGUGCCACGAGAUUUCCGACACUUGAUUUGUGUUGUUUGCCCUUUGUUUGGGUAUUGAAUCUUGAGAGAACCUUAAGUGUUCCUAGGGUUCUAAUGUCUGAAAAUAGUGAAAAGCAAUGACUUAAAAUGGGUUGGAGGCGUCCUAUACAGAUCCAAAUGUCUUAAACCACCUAAGUGGGCCCUAUAGAAAGGUGUUUGGCAUAGUCUCGCGACAAUGCGAAUAUCUCUCUACUCAGAGAUCGUAUCGACUAUCGGUUUAAUGCAUUAGAAACUAGACUCAUAGAUCUUCAAUUUGGUGGUUAGAUCACUCCAUAAUUCUAAGUAAAUUAGGAGAAAAGCUUAGUAGCAUUUGACCAAAUGUUUAACUAAAAUUAUGAAGCUAAUUUGCGACAACUUUUGUGGACCUUUGUCUCAUAACUCAUUUGACUUCAAGACUUAUAAUAAGGAUAUUAUCUGAAUCAAAUACCUUAAAAAACCACCACUUGAGUGAAUUAAUCACCUCUAGGGUUACCCGAAAAUACGGCUAACAACAUACUUGAUUCGCUUAACUUCUAAUACUUCGUUAACCACCCUUAUACACCUUUGUAUCAUUUAAGACCAAUAGGAUUAAUUUCUUAUCAUCUUAAAGAUAAUCCUUUCAUGGAUUUGUCGACUACCUUAUGGCAUGAGCUAACAUACGUGAAUAUGGGUUGUAACAAAUAUAAUAGAUCUUAACUCUACAAAUCAUUCCUACAAGUCAUUUGUUCAACUUAUGGUCUCCACGACUUAUUAAGGCUUAGCCAAGACUUUAAAAAAAAUACUCAAAGAUUGCGUAGUACAUGAUUUCUAGCGUAUGGACAAGAACUAGAAAAUCCUCUAGCAUAUGACUUUUGCAUAAAUGAUGAACAUAGAGAAGUAACAUGACACAUUUUAUGACACGUUAAACUAAAAGAAAAUCGAGAUAUCAUUUUUAUGAUGCGAACACAACACAUUUUUUAUUUUAGAAUUGAAUGAGAAGAAGAGUCACUGACCUUUUGCAGAGCAGUAAACUGGGACGCUUGUCAAGGACUAUUCCCACGAACUCGUCAACUCAAAUAUAAUUUGGAAAGUUAUGAAAUUUCUACUAUAUUUGUUGCAAACGGAACAUAAUUUUUUAAUAGAAAUAAAAGCAACGAAUUCAAGGGGGAAAAGGCGGCUGAAGUCAUUAAUUUUUGGGGUAAGAGAGAGGCUCUGAGCUUAAGGUCCUCGGAGGGGGGCUGAAGCUUUAGGAAUAUUUAUUGAAAAAAAUGAUUAAGGCUUUUGGAUUUGAAAUUUGAAAUCAAACAUAGAGGAGAGUCACGGGUUGCUUUAGACUCCAAAGAUCCGUUUGAGACCAUGGCUGACCAUUUCACCAUUUUGGUGAAGCUAUGCUCUGUGAUAGGGAAAGCAAAGCAAAAGAGGAACCGGAGAUGGAAAGAUUUUCUAAAAAAGGGAAAAUUUCACGUGAGGAAGAGACAAAAUUGAGAGAUUUUGUUACUUUGACCAAAAUUAAAAAGGAUGAUUAUU
rnacentral:lncRNA from 1 species